rnacentral:rRNA from 2 species
GAUGAUACUUCUUCCCGCAUGGGGGGAGGUUGAAAGCUCCGGCGGUGCAGGAUGAGCCCGCGGCCUAUCAGCUUGUUGGUGGGGUGAUGGCCUACCAAGGCGACGACGGGUAGCCGGCCUGAGAGGGCGACCGGCCACACUGGGACUGAGACACGGCCCAGACUCCUACGGGAGGCAGCAGUGGGGAAUAUUGCACAAUGGGCGAAAGCCUGAUGCAGCGACGCCGCGUGAGGGAUGACGGCCUUCGGGUUGUAAACCUCUUUCAGCAGGGAAGAAGCGAAAGUGACGGUACCUGCAGAAGAAGCGCCGGCUAACUACGUGCCAGCAGCCGCGGUAAUACGUAGGGCGCAAGCGUUGUCCGGAAUUAUUGGGCGUAAAGAGCUCGUAGGCGGCUUGUCACGUCGGAUGUGAAAGCCCGGGGCUUAACCCCGGGUCUGCAUUCGAUACGGGCAGGCUAGAGUGUGGUAGGGGAGAUCGGAAUUCCUGGUGUAGCGGUGAAAUGCGCAGAUAUCAGGAGGAACACCGGUGGCGAAGGCGGAUCUCUGGGCCAUUACUGACGCUGAGGAGCGAAAGCGUGGGGAGCGAACAGGAUUAGAUACCCUGGUAGUCCACGCCGUAAACGUUGGGAACUAGGUGUUGGCGACAUUCCACGUCGUCUGUGCCGCAGCUAACGCAUAAGUUCCCCGCCUGGGGAGUACGGCCGCAAGGCUAAAACUCAAGGAAUUGACGGGGGCCCGCACAAGC